AUGGGGCCACCCCAGGAGGGCGAGGCUGCGCCCUUCCCUGGGCAGGGAAUGAGGUUAGAAAACAUUUCAAAUAAAGCAGCACCGUUCCCUCACCGUGGCCCCUCCUUGCCACUGCAGGGUCGGGUCUGGAGGGAGGGCAGGGUCCGGGUGACAGCCCACCCCUCCCCGCCCUCCCCUUUCUGCUCCUUGAAGCUUCGAGGCUGCGGCCCUCUCCUGGCACCCGACGACAAGGGACAGCUGCGGCUGCCCAGGAACCCUCGGGAAUGGAGGGGCUGCCGUGGGGCAGGGAGGCAGUGCAGUUCUGGGCACCACCCGGCAUCCGGCCACUGGUGCCCACCAGACGGGCAGCGCGGCUCUGUGCCCGGCCCGCCUUGGCCAGCCCAGACCCCUUCACAUUGCCUUGGGCCUCCGAGGGGUGAGGUCCGGUUCCUGGGGCGGGGCAGGCAGCUCGGGGCAGUGGCCAGGCCAGGCCCCCGCCCAGCCGGACAUCCAGUAACUCACAGAAUAAAUAGGAAAACCACCUCCCACCAAACUGUGUCCAAGGUGAUCGUGUCCAGGUCUGAGGCCUGCACGCCGAGGCUGGCUCCAUUGCAGAGGACCCCGGCGCCCCCAGGGGCACGCACGCGGACCCUCCACCUGCCUGGUCCCCCGUGCUCGCUGAGCCUGGACCCCAGCAGCAUCCGGGUGCCAGGCAGUGCCGCCAGCGAGGGUCAGAGGCUCUGCUCAGCCAAAGGCCAUCCCUGCGGCCGCCAUCAGUUGAUGUCAUCGUAGAUGCUGGGCGUCGGGGGCACCGGGGGCUUUGGCUUCUUCUUGCUGGACCCCAAGGCGGACGCGGCCCCCACCCGGCUCAGGUGCGACUUCUUCUUCUUGGUUUUCUGGGACUCGGAGCUGUCAGUGCCUAGGCCCCCGGUUUUCACUGGUCUUGGAGGAGCCUGAGUCCGAGGGCGAGAGGUCGGAGGAGCCAUCCCACUGUAGACGGCUGAGGAGCGCCUGGCUGUCGGAUGUGUUGAGCUGUCGUUGUUCAGCGCACUCUCCACCUCUGGGACGACAGCCGAGGGCCCAAGAAAGUAAAUCCGUAUGGUCCGCCUCUGCUGGUCUGUGUGCUGGGGACAGUGCAGGGACCUUGUGCACAUCUUCUUGGUGUGUUCCGAAAUCACCCCACAUUGCGUGGUGAGCAGGCUCCACAGAUCCUUGGGCCCCAGCGUCUCAUAGCUGAUCCCUGUUGAGUUGCUGUACCUAAAAGGAUCGGAAUUGCUAAGUUCCCCACUUUUGUGUUUUAAAGACUUGGAUCUUUGAGGGGAAUUGGGGUUCUGGAAUGGGAGAUACCAUAGCUUGUCUGAUUUCCUCUUUUUGGCUUUCUUCUCCGAGCUGUAAGAUCAGUCAUUGUCAUUGAUGUCAUCGUUGUCCUCCUGGUCGCUCUCUGACUUGUUCAUGUUGCUGCUCUUGGUGAUCUGGCGGUUGGCAAUGUGGCUGCUGUUGCGCCCCACGCCCAGGCAUUUCUCCAGGUGUGGAGCAAAGCAGGACAUGGCGAUGCUGCGGCUGCAGUUUGGGCAGACACACUCCUUGCUCUUCCACUGGUUGAAAACCUGCCCAAAGAUGUCCAGCCCCGGCUGGUCCACGAUCUCUGGGGGCAGGAGAGGUGACGGUCAGUGCGGGGCCACCCCGCACAGCCCCGCCGCAGCUGGGGCGCUCCCCGCAGGAGCUCACCGAAAUCCUUCAUGCUGUCUGGGUCCGUGUCGUCUAGGAAGAAGUAGCCACACUUGACGGCCCGGUGCACCUCAAAGCAGAACCCCAGACACGAAUCCUCGACCAGGUCUGCGUAAAUCUCCUGAGCGAUGGCCUCUAGUUUGCUGUUAUCCAGGCCAGACAAAGACAUUUCCUCCAUUUUCAUUUGUAAACUCUUGUGGAGACAAGGCUCUGACUGCUCAUAGCACAGCAGCCCCGGACAGCCCCUCCCGCCCCGAGGCCCGCCGGGAAGUCCAUCAGAGUGUCCCGAAGUGCAGGCACCCCUGCCUGAGACUGUGG
rnacentral:lncRNA from 1 species